rnacentral:lncRNA from 1 species
CUCUGCUUUUUAUCGUUAAUGCUAAAUUAUAUUUUAUUCUCAUACAAUACAUAUUGAAAAUAAUACAAUAAGCAAAAUUGGCUUAAAUUUUCAUGACAAAAGUUGUAAACAACUUGUUGAUUGGAGUAAUAGGGGGAUAAGACACCUUUGUUAACAAAUAAUAUUAUCUAACAACCUUAUCAUAAAGAUCUAAAAGAAGGAUACAGUUUCAAUUUGAUCUUUAAAUUUAAAUAUGUGAUCUCAAAUUAUUGCAUAAAGAAAUUACGUGUCUAAGGUUUUAAGAAAAAUAGUCACCACAUCGACCUAUUACUAGUAUAAGAUGAAUGAAAAAUUGAGAUUUUCGAUCUGUCGUUCCUCAUUCUUAAGUUUUUUUGCUAGGAUUUUGUAUUUAACGUCGGUAAAAAAUAGUCUGACUUUUAUUAACAAAAAGAAACUUCAGACUCAAAAAAAUAUUUCUAUUUUGAUUUCUUAAUGUGUACUGUAUUUGUCUUUUUUUAUAAGUAAAGUUUAUUUUCUUCUGAUUAUUAUCAAAUGCGAACUGAAAAAUUAAGUAAACUAUGAUACAUAGCUGCGGACAUUUCCGUGUUUAUUGCCAUACACAACGCGUACGACAAACGGCAUAUAAUACUCCCUGUACUUAAAAAAAUAUGGUGUUCAUUAUAUAUAUAUAUACCUAAAAUAAUUUUUGGAUUUGUAUAUAUUCACUUCAUUUCUAAUUAUAAGUAUUUAAAAAAAUUUAUCUUUCAAUAAGUUUUUGUGCAAAUUAUUAUUUUUAUUUAUGAUUUUUUUUAAAACUUACACUUAUAAAUACUAAUAUUUUAUUUUGAAAUGCAAAAAGUUG